GACGAACCGAGCGAACGUUGUUCGGAAUCACUGGGCUUAAAGGGCGCGUAGGCGGCGUGUUAAGUCAGCUGUGAAAUCUCCAAGCUUAACUUGGAACGGUCAGCUGAUACUGAUGUGCUAGAGUGCAGAAGGGGCAACCGGAAUUCUUGGUGUAGCGGUGAAAUGCGUAGAUAUCAAGAGGAACACCUGAGGUGAAGACGGGUUGCUGGGCUGACACUGACGCUGAGGCGCGAAAGCUAGGGUAGCAAACGGG
rnacentral:rRNA from 1 species